rnacentral:sRNA from 1 species
GGCACCUCGAGGGAUCUGUUCAUGAAGGCAUGGUUAGAUGCCCCUUGUCGAAGGAGAUGUAUCAUUCAUCAGGUAGCAUUUGACUACGUCCGGUUCUCCUUCCAACUAUUUUCGCUAUCAGAAACCCCAACUCGACCAGCAAGAACCUCAACGUGAGGUAUGUCAAGCUCGCCAUCUCAGACAGCUAUCCUCAACAAAUGAUGAAUGACUUUCUCUCUAUGCCAUGGAUGACUCGCAUGCUCUGAGCCCUCCUUCGUAAUGGAUUUCUUACCAGGCAAGGAACCACCACUUCACACACAUCACCAGAAUUUCAAGUCAAAACCAUGAUGGUGUGCGCCAGAAACUUGGAUUCAGUCCCCCCGAAAUGCAAGCAUGGCACGCGGCUAUUGACGACCCACGCGCAAUCUUUCCGCUCGAAGGUCCAAAGCGAGAUAUUUCGGUUCCAGGAUAGGAGAUUGGUGUGCUGUGUAGAGUGGUGGUGCGUGGAGACUUGCUGCUAAAAACUGCAACAACUUGAUAUGUUGAGACCGCUGGCCCUUUUUUCUUUGUCUUUAAGGUUGGAGAAGAAAAGGCUGAAAAAGAAAUGAAAAAUAAAAGAGCCGAGACUCAUGCGUCA